UGAGUUUGUUUUUGUGGCUUAUUUCGGUUUGAUUUUUUCUUUCCGGAUGAUUACUUUGAGAAAAUUAGAGUGCUCAAAGCAGGCUUUUGCCUUGAAUAGUUUAGCAUGGAAUAAUAAAGUAGGACUUUGGUUCUAUUUUGUUGGUUUUAGGUACCAAAGUAAUGGUUAAUAGGAACAGUUGGGGGCAUUCGUAUUUAACUGUCAGAGGUGAAAUUCUUAGAUUUGUUAAAGACGAACUACUGC
rnacentral:rRNA from 1 species